GCAGGAAACUUUUCUUGACCCUCUCCUCUGAGGUGCUUCAGAAAUUGAGGCUUCAUUGAGAGCUACAAACCUGCUGUUCCGACUGGCCCUGACACCUUUCUUAAUCAUCUGAACCGAUAGAAACAGCACAAUGCUUCACCACUUCUUAGUUCAUGCAGCUUUUCAGACCAGCAGAUGGCUUCCAAGAGAUCAAAGGUUAAAAUUUCAGAUAGUUCUUUUCAUCUUUGCGGUGCUUUUCCUGGCACCACAGUUUUAUGUUUUGUCAAGGCCAAAAUCUUCUCGCUAUUGUGAAAAGCCACUAUUGAACAAUCUUAUAGCCUUCAUUGUGUUCUCUUUUAUAGCAACAGGUUUGGCUGUAGCACUUACACUCACUGACCCAGUUCCCAAGAGCAUCAGGGUAGCUUUUCACUCAUUUGGGCUGUUUGCAUUUAUACAGGGACUUUGUACAGUCAUUUUUACCCUGUCGGCUCCUCAGUGUGAGAAGACCACCACUGAAUUGUACAUCUUUUCUUUGGUUGUCUCUUGGGCCUGCAUACUUUCAACGGCUUUCUUUCUGGUCAGAGGAGGUCUUUGCCUUGUUCACAGACUAUUUCCUCAUUGGUUCCGAGAUAUGUGCCUCUGGGAUUGA
rnacentral:lncRNA from 1 species